UACGUAGGGUGCAAGCGUUGUCCGGAAUUAUUGGGCGUAAAGCGUACCGAUAGGUGGGUUUACAAGUCAGAAGUGAAAUCUCUCAGCUUAACUGGGAGUCUGUCUUUUGAAACUGUAAAACUAGAGGGGCAAAGAGGAAGCUGGAACGAACGGUGUAGUAGUGAAAUGCGUUGAUAUCGUUCGGAACACCAAUAGCGUAGGCAAGCUUCUGGGUGCCACCUGACACUGCUAGGACGAAAGCGUGGGGAGCGAAUGGG
rnacentral:rRNA from 1 species